rnacentral:lncRNA from 1 species
ACACUCUGAAUCUUGAUAAAUGAUCUCAUUUUUAUCUUCUCUGAGACAAAACACCUAUGAAGAUACCAUGAAGCAUGUUCUGAAUGAGUAAUCAUGAAUCUCAGCUAAGUUCCUCAAUCCUGAUCUCAAUUUUGUGCUACAUUAGUUCACUAUGCAUGUUGAUAUCAUUGAGACUCUACUACUUCACAUAUCUUAAUUAUAAGUGAGACUGAUAAAUUUAAAUUUUCUCUCAUAUACUAGACAGUGAUUAUAAACUCUGAUGUUUUUGUUACCUGAGACAAAACCCCC